rnacentral:lncRNA from 1 species
AUAUACACUAGGGACAAUGUAAUUUAAGUCUGAGGGAAUGUUUACUGAUAUUAGUGUGUUCAUGAGUCUUAUUAAAAUAUUUUCAAAAGAGUUUUAUUGAGUCAAGAAGGGGAUAAUAAACUUAUUAGAUAUUUGCUUGUUAUGUAACCACUAUUUAGCACCAUUCUAGACUUAUUGAUUGCAGAUAGUACUAAAGAUACUAAAGUGGAUCAACCUGUCAACUAUUCACACUUGUUGAGAUUGUUUGAAGGAACCAAAGCUGACCUCCAACACUAAACCUGACACAACUGCUUGUCUUGAGAUCUAAAAAGUAUUUAUAUGGCUUCUAAAACCCUAGUGGGCUCAGUCAACAAAUCUGAGAAAGCCCAUUAAAACAUAGAAAUCCGACUAACUGGGAAAUGCCGAGCGGGUACGUGACGUCGUUCCACAAGGUCGCUCAGGUCACAGCGGCUACUUGACCCCGCUGCGCUCGUCCGCUCCAGAUCAUCCUCGUAUCGCAACGAAAUGCCGAGUGGGUUGAUGAUGUCGCAAUGGACACCCGCUUUGGUUUCACAGCGGGUACGUGACCUCGCUGCGCUCGCCCGCUCCAGCCGACUGCUCCAUACUUCAAAGGAUGCGAGCGGGUGCCGCAACUCGCUCCGGUAGGUCGCUCUAGAGUUUACACCUUUUCUCCAAAAAUGUCGAGCGGGUACGCCAUGUAGCUGCGAGAGGUCGCUCCAGGUUAGAGCGGGUUGCUCACCUCGCUCCAGUAGGUCGCUCCAGCUCCUCAACUCGCUCAAUGAUCAUUUUCUACUUCUUUUUGAAUCACAAUGCUCCCAAACAUCUCCAAUCACUCCAUAGCACUCUCCAACACCUAAUAAGGACAAUGCAUGCAAUAUGGACUCUAAAUAUGCCUAAUUCAUAAUCUAUAUGAUCAAAAUGUACAAGAUAUGAAGGCUAAAAACAUGUAAAUAUGCAAGAUAUCAACUCCCCCACACUAGUCAUUUACUUUUCGUCAAGUAAACUUUUCAAAACACAAGGAGGAGAGAUACAAAGAUGGGAGCUUAGCCAAAAGAAACACUCAGUGCACUCAAUGACAUCCUAAAGAAACAUAGAAAAUAGCAUGAACACACUCUCUUAUUAUACUCUAGCUUCUCUAGGCAUAUAAAUACUCUUAUGUCUCUACACAAGAUGCAAUGCUUUUCAACCAACAUGCUCUCUCCACCAACCCUAACAUUGAUUCACACACACACACACAAGGUGAAUUCUCACAGAUGGGCACAUGAUCUCAAUCAUUUGGCUAGUUGAUCAAAGGGUCUAAUAUGGAUGAAGAGGAGGAUUCAAUGCAAUCAUUUUAAGGUGGCAAUCACUCAAGAAUCAAGGUUAUGCAAAAUUUAUCUAAGACUAGGAGCAAUUAAUGCAUACAUGGAUCCUCAUCAUUCUACCCCAUUCCUAAGUGAUUACAAAUUCUACACCCUUUUCAUUCAUCCCAUAACCCAAAAUGAAAAACACUCACAUCACUCACCCAAUGAACAACAUUCUUUUCUUAAGAGUUAACCACUAAGGACCUCUUAUUCACUUUUCAUAUUUCUAAGUUCUAACACAUUUUAUUAUUCCUUCCCCACUAUCUUAUUGAAUUUUUUUUUCUUUUUUUUUUCUUCUUUUUUUUUUUAUAGAGGAGGAAAGUCUCAAACAAUAUAAUCAAGAGCUUUCUUAUCUUUCUAUUCUAGGUCCCUAGCGCUUUUCUUUCUCAUGACAAUCU